rnacentral:rRNA from 1 species
AUUGAACGCUGGCGGCAGGCCUAACACAUGCAAGUCGAGCGAGCGGCGGACGGGUGAGUAAUGUCUGGGAAACUGCCUGAUGUAGGGGGAUAACUACUGGAAACGGUAGCUAAUACCGCAUACCAUCAGAUGUGCCCAGAUGGGAUUAGCUCGUAGGGGGGGUAACGGCUCACCUAGGCGACGAUCCCUCGCUGGUCUGAGAGGAUGACCAGCCACACUGGAACUGAGACACGGUCCAGACUCCUACGGUAGGCAGCAGGAGGGAAGCUUCGGCAAUGGACGAAAGUCUGACCGAGCAACGCCGCGUGAGUGAAGAAGGUCUUCGGGUUGUAAAGCACUUUCAGCGGGGAGGCGUUACCCGCAGAAGAAGCACCGGCUAACUCCGUGCCAGCAGCCGCGGUAAUUC